UACGUAGGGUGCGAGCGUAAUCGGAAUUACUGGGCGUAAAGCGUGCGCAGGCGGUUAUUUAAGUCAGGUGUGAAAGCCCUGGGCUUAACCUAGGAAUUGCGCUUGAGACUGGAUAGCUUGGAGUGCGGCAGAGGGAGGUGGAAUUCCACGUGUAGCAGUGAAAUGCGUAGAGAUGUGGAGGAACACCGAUGGCGAAGGCAGCCUCCUGGGCCAGCACUGACGCUCAUGCACGAAAGCGUGGGGAGCAAACAGG
rnacentral:rRNA from 1 species